ensembl:lncRNA
GAAUCAAUCCCAUAUGUAAAGAAUUGUCGGUGAAAUAGUUAUCAUGUGAUAAGACUGAAAAGUUCUAAAUAUCAUCGACAUUCGCAAAUUACUGAUUUGACAACGUAACAGAAAAAAUCCGACAUCCCUACUCCUCUACAUUUGUUCUCCUGAUGUCGCACUAGUACCUGAAGGAAAACAUCGCGAGAUUUGGUUGCCUUGGCUGCAGCACAGAGUGACGCUAGAGGAUGUUUGAGGUUUAGCGGCAGAGAAAUCACCCGAAAAUUUGCCUGACUAACGGAGGUAAACGACUCUGGGCCCGAGAAGAACUGGUAAUGAGAACGCCGCCGCCUCCUCCACCCACUCUAAAUCAGGAGCCGAAGGAUCUGCAGGUGCCUCCUCUGGUGCUGAAAGGCACACAGCCUAACUGACCAAUUUAGCUCACUUACCGGAGAGAACGAGGCCCCAUUAUCAGACAUCUGCCUUUGGCUCGGUAAAAAAACACUCUGAUUGGUGUUUUGGCAGAGGUGUGUGUGAUAAGGACAGAAGGUCUAUCCGAGAGGUUUGACCAGUGGAGCAGCAUCUCUGAGCUUGUGCUCUGACCACCUCUGUGCAUUCUAAGUUGUGAAAGAUUCUCAUGUUGUUGUUUUUUAUAAUUGCGAAUUCUUGAUGAAAAUGGCAAUGCUGUAUUUUCUAGAUUCAGCCCGAGUUAGCUUGAUAUCGUGAUGGAGUAGGCAGGAGACUCUUGUGUGGCUGGUGAGGAGAAUUUGUUUAUUCAGAAUGACGAAGUGUCCAUAAGGCGAUGUCUCAGCAACAUGAUGUUCACAGAAUUCUUCUUCUUCUUCUUCUUCUUCUUCUUCUUCUCUUGCAUGAACAUGGCGCCAGCUCACAUGACAUGGGUGGAUGGAAACAUUUGUCAUGAAAUAAAAUAAUGCCAUGAAAUAAAAACCACUGAAAUCCUUCAGUUAAAUGCAGCUAAGAUCCAGCUUUUCUGUAAGACAUGGGUCAUAAACAGAGACAGAGCUGAACUUGAAUUUAUCUCUAUGGCAGUGAAGGCGUGUGUAACCAGAAAUUGGCUACAGAUGGUACCAGAUGUCUCAAAGUUUUUGAAACACUUUUAUAAGGAUCCAUUUGUUAAAAAGGGCAGUGUACAUCUGGACAAUGAUGACUUUUC